AUAUAUCAAGAAGAAGCAAAUGGGGAUUUCACUAUUAUAAUAGACCUCGACAAUCCACCAUUACUUUCGAGAGAAGACAAUGAGAUACCGAAGGCUGUACCUUCAUCCAUUGUACAUGCUGAGAAGUCAAAAAAUUGCUCAAAUGGCACCUUUGAAGACUUCAUUAAUGAUGAUGAUGAAGUGAAUGAACAUGAGUCUAACAAUGAGGAAGACGAAGAGGAGAUUCUUAGUGAUAAUGACAUCGAUUCGGAAUAGAUGGCUGGACCAGGAAAGCGAGGCCAAAUGCUGCAGAGAAAAGCUCGAGGUGCACAACAGCCUGCAAUACCUAAUUCAAUUGGAAGCAAUCAACCAAGAAGUGCAUCCAAGAGUGUAUCCUCAGAGGAUGUAAUAUAUGUCACUCCAGCUUCUUCACCUAGAGAAAUUGCUAGUGAGAGUAGGAUGAUACACCCUCAGACAUCUGAGUCUCGUGCAUCCGGAGAAAAUGAGACAAAUCCAGUUUCGGAUGAGGAAGAAAAUGCUAUGCUGCUGUCAGCAAGAAGAAGAGGACGUACACGAAAUCUAUCAUUAUCAAAAAAAAAGGGAGGCUAAUGAGACGCUCACCAUUGAAAUUGAUGAUUGUAUUCGGCAGAUUGUUGGGAAGGAUUCUCAAUACUUCAUCACAGAAGGGGGUUGUGUUGUUAGGAAGGCUGCUAGGCUUAAUGUUCCAAAGUGGUCCCAUCUCAAUCCCGGUGACCGAGAAGGCAUAUACAGCAC